GACCUCGGAUCAGGUAGGGAUACCCGCUGAACUUAAGCAU
rnacentral:rRNA from 5 species